rnacentral:misc_RNA from 1 species
AACGCACAUUGCAUCGGGGGGUAUUCCCCCCGAUAUACCAUGUUGAGCAUAUUUUUUCUCCUUCGGGGCCUUAAUUUCAAAAUCUAAUCAACUACGUUAUUAGAACUUAUCUUCUCAGCAUGGCAGGACUACCCGCUGAACUUAA